rnacentral:rRNA from 1 species
CUACGGGUCGCUCCAGUGGGGAAUAUUGCACAAUGGGCGCAAGCCUGAUGCAGCCAUGCCGCGUGUAUGAAGAAGGCCUUCGGGUUGUAAAGUACUUUCAGCGGGGAGGAAGGGAGUAAAGUUAAUACCUUUGCUCAUUGACGUUACCCGCAGAAGAAGCACCGGCUAACUCCGUGCCAGCAGCCGCGGUAAUACGGAGGGUGCAAGCGUUAAUCGGAAUUACUGGGCGUAAAGCGCACGCAGGCGGUUUGUUAAGUCAGAUGUGAAAUCCCCGGGCUCAACCUGGGAACUGCAUCUGAUACUGGCAAGCUUGAGUCUCAUAGAGGGGGGUAGAAUUCCAGGUGUAGCGGUGAAAUGCGUAGAGAUCUGGAGGAAUACCGGUGGAGAAGGCGGCCCCCUGGACGAAGACUGACGCUCAGGUGCGAAAGCGUGGGGAGCAAACAGGAUUAGAUACCCGAGUAGUC